CUGACGUCCCACCUUUCACACAACACGGCUCACUUGGGCGCAGAGUUACGGGGGAGGGGGGGCAACCUCUCUGAGGGGCCGUGAAAAAAGGAUGACACUCUCUCUCUCUCUCUCUCCAUAUAUAUAUAUAUAUUUGUUGUUGUUGUUGUUGUUUGGUGAGGAGGCUUGGCUAACAUCUAUGCCAAUCUUCCUCCAUUUCGCAUGUGGGACGCCCGCCUAGGAUCCGAACUCACGAACCCCGGACGCCUAAGCGGCGCCGGUGAACUUAAACACUACGCCGCGAGGCCGGCCCCUUCUUUAUGUUAUGAAGCAGGACAAGCAUAGACUACAAAGCGUUUAAAGAAGAUAUUCAGUGUUGGACGUGCACUAAAUUCCCAGACAAAGCCUUUUCAAAUACUGACCAGGGUAGACGUCCACAGUGAGACGUGACGACGGCGGGGCCCCGGCGGAUGCGACGAGGAGGAGCGGCCGCAUCACUGGUGAUAUCCUUCCCCAGACACAUAACCGAAUCUAGUCCUUAGGAUGGUGGUCGAGUGGUUAACGUUCGGCGCUCUCACCACCCCGCCCAGGUUCGCGUCCAGAUCAGGGAAGCACACCACCCAUCUGUCCCGGCUGCGUGUUGCUGAAAGCUGUGCCUCCGGGAUUUCAAAUACCAGCAGGGUCACCCAUGGUGGACAGGUUUCGGGGGAGCUUCCAGGCUACACAGACUAGAAGGACCUGGCCACCCCCUUCCAAAAAACCCUGUGAACAGCAGCGCAGCAUUGUCUGAUACAGCACUGGAAGAUGAGAGGAUGGCACAGAAGGACCGGGCAGGGGUCCGCUGUGCUGUACACAAGGUCACUAGGAGUCUGAGUUGACUUGAUGGCAUUAACAACAACAAAAAAUCUUUAGGAAGCAAUUAUUCUAUAAAAUAACUGGCAUGCAGUGUUCAAAGGCAUCUAAAUCAAGAAAAGAUUGAAGAAUGUUCCAGAUUAAAGGAGACUCAAGAGCCAGGAAAACUCAGGGCAGCGUGUGGUCCUGAACCAGAUCCUUCUGUCAUAAAGGACGUUAUUGGGACACUUGGCAUAGACAUGAACCGGGCCUGAGGAUCAGAUGUGGCAUCCGUCCCGUUAGUGUGGCUCUCCUGAUCUGGGGCGUUUGCGUUGUGGCCGUGCAGGGGAAUGGCCCAGGUGACGGAAAUUCGAAAAAAGCCUUCAACAGUGACGGGCAUCGUGUCACCAUUACUCUCUGAUGGUCCGGGGAAUAAAAGCUCCUUGUACUAUCUUUGUACCUUUUGCGUAGAUCUGAAACUGAGCCCAGAGGGUAAAAUGACUCCGCCGAGGUCACUCUGAGAAUCAGGGCCUCACUUGCUCCACGGCUCCUCCGUCUCACCUCCCACUGCACUGCGCUCACCUUCCCAGCCUCGAAGAGGAUUCCUUGCUCAGAGCUGGCAGGCUCCCUCCAUCAGAGGAGCUCAGUUUCCCCAAGCAGGGAUGAAAUCAGAGACGAUGGACCCAUGACACACCAUUCUCAGCCUCCAGCGACCACCUGGGGCAUCUCUGAGAUUACAGAGAUUUUGAGAAGUGCGUCCCAGCAAGACGGUCCCCAGAGUGCGAGCUGUCCUCUGAGGGUCCUCGUGGCGGGGCAUCAGCACAACCAGGGUGUGCCCCCUCUGCUGCGUUUGGAAAUCACUUUGUCAUCAGCAUCCCAUGAAGGAAGCCUGGAGGGGAGGGGAGCGAGGGAAGGGCAGGGCCGCGCAGCUGCCACAGGGCUGGUGCAACUGGGGGCACAUGGUCCCUCCCGCACUCCCCUCCCCCUGUGGGCCUAAACGGAGGCUCUGUCCCCCCCGGCCCUGAAACUUUUGGUCUCAGGAUCCCUUUACACUCUGAAAAGGUAUUGAGGGCCCCGAAGAGC
ensembl:lncRNA